rnacentral:lncRNA from 1 species
AGGAAGGUCAGAGGGCCCGAGACCCAGGGUAUUGCCGCUGUUCUAAUAUUUUUUUAAGCAUAGACAGACUUAUAAUUAAUAUACAUUAGUUAGUGGCGUUGAAACAGUCCUCUGAGACAUUAACUAUAAGACUGUGUUCUGUUUAUAAGUAUUUAUUUCUAAUGCCUCCAGGUAGGGCUGUAAGGUUCAUGUGGAGCUACCUUCUCCUAUCCCCCCUUCAGCCUGGCCCUGUUGGUUCCCACCUGUAUCUCCAGCCUGCAAGGGGCAGAGGGAGGGAGGGACGUGAACAAACCAUGGCUCCUCACAGCCUGGCACAGGGAAACUCCGUCCUGGCCAGUUUUGUCUGAGAUGCACCUUGCAUGGUACGUGUGUGAGAGGUUGUGCAAGUUCUGAGACUUAGACAAUUCAGAAGUCACCCUUCUGAGGGAACAGUUCCCAAAAUGGAGCAAUAAAGGUGGUGUGAGCAGUUUCAUCUCAGAGCGAGGAGGAUCAGGUGAGGGGUAUGAUCCAACCUCGCUAGGCAGACUGGCUCCAGCUGAGCUGUGUCCAGGCUGUUGGGUAGGCGGCUGCGUUUACACACGGCUGUGGGUGACAGAGGCCAUGGGUGUUCAGAGUGGGGCCUCUGACUGUAGCCUUGGGUGUCAAUGAGCAGAGGAAUGGAUAUGUAGCUCUGGGAAGUUCCGUGAUCAGUGAUCCCAGUCUGCCCAGGGGUGGCGCUCCUGUAAAUCUCAGCAAGAGAGCACAGGAGGGUGACCUCGUGGUGGUCUUGGUAAAGGGACUCUUCUGUACCUUCUGUACCUGGGGACUUUUCAUACCACUGGUCCAUUUGGAAAGCCAGAAACCAAACCUCAAGUCCCCAGGACCCAUCAGGAGCAGUUACACUCAGCAUCCAGCUAUUCCAGGAAUCUCUCUCCACCUUGGUCAGCCCCUCCCCCUUCUGGAUCAGCUGAUGGAUCUAAGCUCCCCAUCAGCUCAGACUGUGUCCACAUGGCACUGACAUGACCUGGAUACUCUUGUGACCAAUGUUCACAGCAUCCCUACUGUCUGGAAGGUCAUAGAAGGUUCUGGCUUCAAGGUCCCUUGGCAUAGUUAUCAAAGGUCCUGCUCUUUGUCCAGGCAUCAAGAUUCAGGGUAGUGGCAGGGCUCAUGCUGAAAGUAGUGUGUGCACCCGCCAGCCAGUGUGAGUCCAGUGGAAACUGAGAAUUCACCCAUCACUGGGGUCAGGUGCCAUAUGGGUAGCCACCCUCAUGCAUGGCCACCCUCAUCCCCAGGACUUGAGCUAAUAGUCAUUAGCAUCAAGUGCCAGGGAACCCUCUCCAUGAAGUAUAGAAUAAGACUCAUUCCCAAGAAUCCAAAUCAAGGUGCCCAUCCCAGAGCAAGAUUAAACUAGAAACCAGGUGACCUGAGCUGUCCGCGGUGGACUGUGGAGGCAGGAGGUUGAGAUACAAAGUGGGGAGAAGACACCUGUGUUAAGAAGCUCACUCUGGUGCUCAUGACCAGGAGGGAAGGAGCGGGUUGCUUCAAUUUCUUGGUUCCCAAGGGCCACACAGCCCCCAGCAGGCAGAAAGGCAGUCAUGGCUUGCCACACUCGCUCAGGUCAACCAGCCUGAAGCUGAGGCCUUGCAAGAGUCCAGCUCCACCCAGGAGGUGGGUGUCUGAGGCCAGCCAACCUCCAGAGCACCUGUGCCUGGGUCGGGUUAUAGAAAGGUUGGGAGCUCUAGUGCCCACCCCACCCCCAUUCAGGGGCCAUGCCAUACUGGCUGUCCUGGCAUUGUCUACGAACCAAGAUGGGCUCUCGGCUUUUGUGGGGGUCCUGAGUCAGAACCUAGUAACCAGAACUGAUGGACCAAGAAAUCUGUCCACAGCUCAGGAAACCUGAUUUCUUCAUGCCCCACCCCCUUGCCCAAAAUUACCUGUAUUAUGCCAGCUGAAGGUCAUUUGUCCAACAGCUGUGACGUGGAGGGAUGACAUGAGGACUAGGGAUAACCUAGCUGAGGCCCGUUUCCUGCUUGGUGCAGAAAGUGAGAUGAAUCUAGAAACCCACCUCCACAGACGUUUUGGUUUUGAUACUUAAUGUUGCUCAGGCUGUGACCUCAACUUAGUUUGGGAUAAUCAUCAACUUUCCUGGAGAAGGGGAGUUGUUUCUGCAUCCGGGGUGGGGCGGGGCCGUGCUGUGUUGGGUUCCUGUGAGACCCUGCUUAUGCCUGGAUAACACUUCUAAUGCCUCUUGUCCCAAGCAAUCAUGCCAGCACCUUAUUCAACACACACACACACACACACACACACACACACACACACACACAAAUGUACUAAAUGAUUCUCCUCCUCUCUCCUGGUACCUGGAGACCCCUGGCUAUCAUGGGAUUACUGAAUGUGGCUGAUGUUACAGAUGUGAACAAGACUAAGAUGGUUCUCUGCUCCACUCAGCAUGGGGACUUCAUAAGACACAUUCCUUUAUCCCUGGGACCGGAGCCAUGCAGUCCCUCAGGAUGGACAGAUAUGGCUGACCUGAGUCUCUCCUUGAGCCUGGACCUCCUGUGGUUUGUCUAUACCGAGGGGCCCCUGCAACUCAGAGGCUGUUUCCCUGACCUGUACAUAUGUGGUUGCUGUGGGCUCCCCCUGGCCCCUGUGUCAUAACCACCUGACGUAAUGACUAGUAUCCUGCUGUUUACACCCGAGUGUUAGCUGUAGGCUCCUGUACUGUUUGUGUGCACUUAGGGCUCUGUCCAAUUAAGAAAUAAAUGUGGCUCUCAUGC